rnacentral:rRNA from 1 species
CAGAAAGUUACAAGCAACAGUGUGGAUGCCUUGGCGACAUCUGGCGAAGAAGGACGCGACAAGCUGCGAUAAGCCCCGGGGAGCCGCAAAUAGGCCGAUCCGGGGAUUUCCGAAUGGGGAAACCCUGUCAGCAAUGACAAUCCUGUCCUGAAUUCAAUAGGGGCAGAGAAGCAAACCUGGAGAAGUGAAACAUCUCAGUAUCCAGAGGAAAAGAAAGCGAAUGCGAUUCCCUCAGUAGUGGCGAACGAAAGGGGAACAGCCCAAACCAAGAGGACUUGUCCUCCUGGGGUACGGGCCUCAAUGUGAGACUGAAGAGGUUAGGCGAAGCGUUUGAAUGACGCGUCAUAGAGGGUGAGAACCCCGUAGCCAAAAACCCGAUCAGCUCUAGAGGUACCCAGAGUAGCACCGGACACGUGAAACCCGGUGUGAAAAAAACGCAGACCACUGCGUAAGGCUAAAUACACGAUGUCGACCGAUAGUGAAGAGUACCGCGAGGGAAAGGUGAAAAGCACCCCUGUUAGGGGAGUGAAAAGUACCUGAAACCUGUUGCUUACAAGCGGUCGGAGCCCCCUCGUGGGGUGACGGCGUACCUUUUGCAUAAUGGGUCUGGGAGUUAACGUAAGGAGCCAGCCUAAGGUCCCUCAGGACCGGAGGCGCAGCGAAAGCGAGUCUGAAUAGGGCGCAUAGUUCCUUGCGUUAUACCCGAAGCGGAGGUGAUCUACCCAUGACCAGGUUGAAGCCCAAGUAACAUUGGGUGGAGGACCGAACUGAUGGCACUUGAGAAUGCCCCGGAUGAGUUGUGGGUAGGAGUGAAAGGCUAAUCAAACCCCGUAAUAGCUGGUUCUCUCCGAAAUAUAUUUAGGUAUAGCGUCCAGCGCUGACCCGUGGGGGUAGAGCACUGAAAAGGCUAGGGGACACACCCGUCUACCAACCCUUAUCAAACUCCGAAUACCACGGGGCGAAGCUGGGCAGUCAGGCAGUGGGGGAUAAGCUUCAUUGUCAAGAGGAAAACAGUCCAGACCACCAAUUAAGGCCCCAAAGACGUAGCUAAGUGGAUUAAAGAAUGUGAACUUGCACAGACAAUAGGGAUGUUGGCUUAGAGGCAGCCACCAUUUAAACAGUGCGUAACAGCUGACCUAUCGAGUGAGUUUGCGUCUAAGAUGAUCGGGACUAAGCGACGCGCCGAAGUUGUGGGCUCGUCAGGGAGCGAUCCCUGGCGAGCGGUAGGAGAGCGUUCCAGCAGCGGUGAAGCGGAAGCGGUAAGCGACCGUGGAGCGGCUGGAAGUGAGUAUCCAGACAUAAGUAACGAUAAGAAUGGUUGAAAUCCAUUCCGCCGUAAGGAUAAGGUUUCCAGGGCAAGGGUCGUCCCCCCUGGGUUAGUCGGGAGCUAAGCCGAGGCCGUAAGGAGUAGGCGAUGCACAUCAGGUUAAUAUUCCUGAACCAAGUAGAGAGGACGGGAUCAUGGAGUCAGCAGACCUUAUUGACUUGGCAGUCCGAGGCUACGGCCGAGGACGCGCUGAUGAAGUGAUCUCCAGGAAAAGCCUCUACAUUAGCCCGUACCGCAAACCGACACAGGUAUCCGGGAUGAGUAUUCUAAGGCGCGUGAGUUAAACCUCCUCAAGGAACUCGACAAAUUAACCCCGUAUCUUCGGUAUAAGGGGUGCUCCGGGCAACCGGAGUCGCAGUGAAGAGGCCCUACCGACUGUUUAGCAAAAACACAGCUCUCUGCUAAGUCGCAAGACGACGUAUAGGGAGUGACGUGUGACCAAUGCGGAAAGGUGAAAGCUGGAGCUGCAAGGUUCCGGUCUAAGCCCCCGUGAAUGUCGGCCGUAACUAUAACGGUCCUAAGGUAGCGAAAUUCCUUGUC